rnacentral:rRNA from 1 species
CACGUAGGGCGCAAGCGUUGUCCGGAAUUAUUGGGCGUAAAGAGCUCGUAGGCGGUCUGUUGCGUCCGCUGUGAAAACUCGGGGCUUAACCCCGAGCCUGCAGUGGAUACGGGCAGACUAGAGGUAGGUAGGGGAGAAUGGAAUUCCCGGUGUAGCGGUGAAAUUCGUAGAUAUUGGGAAGAACACCGGUGGCGAAGGCGGCUCACUGGCUCGUAACUGACGCUCAUGCACGACAGCGUGGGGAUCAAACAGG